UAAAAACAGUCUGUUGAAGACAGACCUCAGCCUCUCCUCCUGCGCCAUUUCGACUCGAUGUCCCGGAGCUUUCAAACCUCGACUCAGCUUCGAUGACUACGGAGAGAGCAAGAGUUCGGCUACCAGGUACGUUUCUCCCUUUUACUUUAUUAUUCCUCUUAACCAGCAACUGAUAAACACGGAAAUUAAAAAAAAAAAAGAAAGGAAAGAAAACCCCC
rnacentral:lncRNA from 1 species